rnacentral:rRNA from 1 species
UAGGGAAUUUUCGGCAAUGGGCGAAAGCCUGACCGAGCAACGCCGCGUGAGUGAAGAAGGCCUUCGGGUUGUAAAGUUCUGUUGUAAAGGAAGAACGGCCUGGAUAGGAUCUAGGAGUGACGGUACUUUACCAGAAAGCCACGGCUAACUACGUG